rnacentral:tRNA from 1 species
CGGAACGUGGCGCAAUCUGGUAGCGCAACUCUCUCCAAAAGAGUCGGUUGGGGGUUCGAGUCCCUCCGUUUCGGCCA